rnacentral:rRNA from 1 species
GACGGAGGGAGCUAGCGUUAUUCGGAAUUACUGGGCGUAAAGAGCGCGUAGGCGGACUUGUAAGUUGGGAGUGAAAUCCCGAGGCUCAACCUCGGAACUGCUCUCAAAACUGCUUGUCUUGAGUAAAGUAGAGGAUGAUGGAAUUCCUAGUGUAGAGGUGAAAUUCUUAGAUAUUAGGAGGAACACCGGUGGCGAAAGCGAUCAUCUGGGCUUUAACUGACGCUGAGGUGCGAAAGCGUGGGGAGCAAACAGG